rnacentral:rRNA from 1 species
GACGCGUGAGGGAGGAGGCUCUUGGGUUGUAAACCUCUUUUCUCAGGGAAGAAGCUCUGACGGUACCUGAGGAAUCAGCCUCGGCUAACUCCGUGCCAGCAGCCGCGGUAAUACGGAGGAGGCAAGCGUUAUCCGGAAUUAUUGGGCGUAAAGCGUCCGCAGGUGGCGAUUCAAGUCUGCUGUCAAAGCACGGGGCUUAACUCCGUUAAGGCAGUGGAAACUGAAUAGCUAGAGUGCCGUAGGGGUAGAGGGAAUUCCCGGUGUAGCGGUGAAAUGCGUAGAGAUCGGGAAGAACAUCGGUGGCGAAAGCGCUCUACUGGACGGCAACUGACACUCAGGGACGAAAGCUAGGGGAGCGAAUGGGAUUAGAUACCCCCAGUAGUCAAUU